rnacentral:misc_RNA from 1 species
UUUCCGUAGGUGAACCUGCGGAAGGAUCAUUAAUGAUUACGAAUCGUCGCCUUCAGUGCUGGCCGGCUUCGGCAAGUGCACGUCGGUGACUUUCAUCCAAUACCCUGUGCACCUUUGGCCUCUUGCUAGCUUCGGCCGGCAGAGGAUUUUUACACACACUCGAAUGUAAUGAAAUUUAUUGUCGUGCGCAAGCACUAAUGUACAACUUUCAACAACGGAUCUCUUGGCUCUCGCAUCGAUGAAGAACGCAGC